rnacentral:rRNA from 1 species
CCUACGGGAGGCAGCAGUGAGGAAUAUUGGACAAUGGGUGAGAGCCUGAUCCAGCCAUCCCGCGUGAAGGACGACUGCCCUAUGGGUUGUAAACUUCUUUUGUACAGGGAUAAACCUAUCUACGUGUAGAUAGCUGAAGGUACUGUACGAAUAAGCACCGGCUAACUCCGUGCCAGCAGCCGCGGUAAUACGGAGGGUGCAAGCGUUAUCCGGAUUUAUUGGGUUUAAAGGGUCCGUAGGCGGGCCUGUAAGUCAGUGGUGAAAUCUCACAGCUCAACUGUGAAACUGCCAUUGAUACUGCAGGUCUUGAGUAAAUUUGAAGUGGCUGGAAUAAGUAGUGUAGCGGUGAAAUGCAUAGAUAUUACUUAGAACACCAAUUGCGAAGGCAGGUCACUAAGAUUCAACUGACGCUGAUGGACGAAAGCGUGGGGAGCGAACAG